rnacentral:rRNA from 1 species
UCGGGAAUUUUGGGCAAUGGGCGAAAGCCUGACCCAGCAACGCCGCGUGAGGGAUGAAGUAUUUCGGUAUGUAAACCUCGAAAGAAUGGGAAGAAUAAAUGACGGUACCAUUUAUAAGCUCCGGCUAACUACGUGCCAGCAGCCGCGGUAAUACGUAGGGAGCAAGCGUUGUUCGGAUUUACUGGGCGUAAAGGGCGCGUAGGCGGCGCGGUAAGUCACUUGUGAAAUCUCUGAGCUUAACUCAGAACGGCCAAGUGAUACUGCUGUGCUAGAGUGCGGAAAAGGCAACCGGAAUUCUUGGUGUAGCGGGGAAAUGCGUAGAUAUCAAGAGGAACACCUGAGGCGAAGGCGGGUUGCUGGGCCGACACUGACGCUGAUGCGCGAAAGCCAGGGGAGCAAAC